rnacentral:lncRNA from 1 species
UGCCGGCAGAGCAUCAUAGGCUCUAUGCAUAACUCCCUUCACCAUUUCUAGCAAAGGUUCACAAUAUCCCACAAACACAAGAGUACAAAAGGAUAGUAUGAACAAUAAAUAGCACAUAUCGGAAGCACACGCAGAACAACAAAACGUACAUGUGCCUUUACGAGUCAAUACGUUGCAAGCAUAAUCUUUCACAAAUGUAUUCAGAUUUGAAAGGAAAUGAAAGCAAGAGCAUUCAAGGAUUCCAAGCAAUCACAUAUAACUCAAUUCAAAUAAGAAGGUUAG